CGGUUUGCUAAACCGUUAGGGUGGGUAACUGCCGCGAGGGUUCAAAUCCCUCCUUCUCCG
rnacentral:tRNA from 1 species